rnacentral:lncRNA from 1 species
CCGAGGCCCGUAGUAAGCCUAAAUUAUCCAAUAUGUCUACCUAUCUUUUCCAAUUUCAUCAAAACAGUAAACCCAUAUACAAACAUCUGGCCCAAACUCAAAUAACACAUAAUGUAUAACCAGGGCCUAUUCACAAUAAAUUAUAAUCACGUUAUGGGCUUACUGGUUCACCUGCAGCUAAUUACCUAACAUUUAAUUUAUAGUGUAGUGCUAACAAUAAGUCCAAUAUUAAUACACAACUCUAUAACUGCGGAGUCCAAAAAUAAUCUGAUAACAGAAUAAUUUAUACAUCCAAAAUUAAAUAACAUGAAUAUAAAGUUUACAUUUGUAACUCUGCGGAGAAGAUUGCAGAGCUUCAGUCGAAUCAGCUGCUUCCUAGUACCUGGGAGGUUUGUUGGGGGGGGUGAGUUUUGCAACUCAGUGAAUAAUAAUAAAUAAUACACACCACAUACAGUCAAGCAAAAUGCACCCUAGUAUACUGAAUGAACACACAACAGUCAAUCAUAUGACAUUACAUCAGCACCCACAAACAAUAUCACCUUCAAAUAAUCACAUCACGUGGAAAUUAGUCAGUGGCGUCACCUAAACCCCCGACGAGCCGUCCUCUCAAACAGCCCAUCCUCUCAAACAUGUGCACCCGGGGAGCCAAUCCCCCAUAUCUGGCCGACCGGUCUAAUCCUCACUUGACCAGCCCUCUCA